rnacentral:rRNA from 1 species
AAUGGGCGAAAGCCUGACGGAGCAACGCCGCGUGAGGGAUGAAGGCCUCUGGGCUGUAAACCUCUUUUAUCAAGGAAGAAGAUCUGACGGUACUUGAUGAAUAAGCCACGGCUAAUUCCGUGCCAGCAGCCGCGGUAAUACGGGAGUGGCAAGCGUUAUCCGGAAUUAUUGGGCGUAAAGCGUCCGCAGGCGGCCCUUCAAGUCUGCUGUUAAAAAGUGGAGCUUAACUCCAUCAUGGCAGUGGAAACUGUCGGGCUUGAGUGUGGUAGGGGCAGAGGGAAUUCCCGGUGUAGCGGUGAAAUGCGUAGAUAUCGGGAAGAACACCAGUGGCGAAGGCGCUCUGCUGGGCCAUCACUGACGCUCAUGGACGAAAGCCAGGGGAGCGAAAGGGAUU